GCCUAAAAAAAAGAGGUAAGACUACAACAGGAAACCUUUACAGAGCAAGCCCAUCAUAGACAACCAGUGAACAACUAAGUUUUACAACUCAUACAAACUAAGUAGAAAAUCUUUUCUACUCCUACAACUUGUGUUUAAUGUUGUUUGCUACAAAUAAGAUGUACCCACAAGUAGUUAGUAGUUUUCCACUAUAGCCUUUGCUUCACCC
rnacentral:misc_RNA from 1 species